ncrna:unclassified sequences DTF3800-XI RNA
CGGGCUGGUCGAUGCGACCCUGGCCCACCCACAGAGGGGAAUUUCCCC